rnacentral:rRNA from 1 species
GUACACUCCUGCGGGAGGCAGCAGUGGGGAAUUUUGAACAAUGGGCGAAAGCCUGAUCCAGCAAUGCCGCGUGAGUGAAGAAGGCCUUCGGGUUGUAAAGCUCUUUUGUCAGGGAAGAAACGGUGAAAGCUAAUAUCUUUUGCUAAUGACGGUACCUGAAGAAUAAGCACCGGCUAACUACGUGCCAGCAGCCGCGGUAAUACGUAGGGUGCAAGCGUUAAUCGGAAUUACUGGGCGUAAAGCGUGCGCAGGCGGUUUUGUAAGUCUGAUGUGAAAUCCCCGGGCUCAACCUGGGAAUUGCAUUGGAGACUGCAAGGCUAGAAUCUGGCAGAGGGGGGUAGAAUUCCACGUGUAGCAGUGAAAUGCGUAGAUAUGUGGAGGAACACCGAUGGCGAAGGCAGCCCCCUGGGUCAAGAUUGACGCUCAUGCACGAAAGCGUGGGGAGCAAACAGGAUUAGAUACCCGUGUAGUCCCAUGA